UCGAGGCAUGUUGUGCGCAAACACCGUGACUUUGUUCCUAGUGUGGGUACUGCAGAAGACUUGGAGAGAGACUGUACAGAAGUGGUAAGAUAGGGAGGAGCCCAAAGUUGAAGACAGGAAGAAAGAAAAAAGACUCCAGGGCCUGUUCUGUCUUCUGCUUCAGAGUAAUGUGAUCACUAGAGCAGCUGGUGUCAAACAAUUCAUGAAAUACCCCUAAUAACAAGGAAGAGAGCAAAUUUAUACCAAAACUACUGAUCUUGCCAAGUUUUCCAGUCUGGCCUUGAAUUUGUAAUCCUCCUGCCUCAGCCUCCCAAGUAGCU